CGUGAUUGGGAUCACAUGAAGUUGGGUUUGGCAGGCAUAAUCAUGAAGAGGCAUAUGUAUAAUCCAUUACGUGUGAAACUUUUGAGUAAACAUAUGUACCCAGAGGAGGUAUUCAAUGACCUGAAUCCUGAUCGUGCUUUCACAUUAUGGUGAUUCUGGAACAUGUAUGUAGAGGGAAAUGAUGUUCAAAAGCUUUAAUACAGCAAAGUCGAAAAUUAUAUGAACUCCAACUCAAACGAGCAGCCCAAGCAAAUCAUUAGUAGCCAAGGCAAUGAUAUGAUUGUUGAUCCUCUUGAUUACAUCUUUGGUGAUUUGGAAAGUGGCAAGGAAAUCUCUCAUUCAAACAAUGUCAA